AUUGUAUAAUUUAAUUUGAUUUGCUGCUGCUAUUGUUGCUGGUGUCAAGUGUGUGGAAGCAAAUUCCAGUACAUAUGUUAACUUACAUUGAUACGAGGCAUUUACGCGUUAAGAUGAAUUAGCCUAUCGAUUGUUAUAUAUGUUUGUAACUUAGCUUGAAAAAUAAUUGGAAAUUUUAAUAUUUAUGCUCUACCAUUAACAGACUUUUAAAUAAACGAAUAUUUGCGUUAUA